rnacentral:lncRNA from 1 species
AGAACCCAUGUAACAUUUCCCCUCACCAACACUGGUAUAGGCUCAAGUGAGGAAGACCAGAGGUCCCCAGAGAGGAAGGCCCUGGCUGAAACCCGACCAGAGCCUGCCCCCAGGACCUUCCCUCCCCCUGUCUCGACCAAGCCCACCACUGGCAUCCCAAAGCCUCCCGUACCGAGUGCCAAGCCUGCCCUCAGCCCCCGCAACUCUGGACCACUGAAGACCCGCACAAGCAGCAGCAGGAGUAUUGAUGAGAGUCCUGAUUCUGCCAGUGGUGGUUCGUCCCCAAAAGUGCCAGGUCCUACCCAAGUGCCUGUACCUGCCCAGGGCCACAAGAGGGCGCCCUCCGAUGCAGAGUGUGAAAGUGUAAUGAGUCCAUCCCCUGAAGACCCUGAGAGAAGGGAGUGUCCCUCUGAGGUAGCAGGAGACAGCAGUGUAUUCGAUUUGGACCAGGACUCUGCCACUGUCAAACACUCAUCCUCCCUUCGCUGCUUAACCAAUCCUGUUUUGGAAGCAGAUGAUCGACAGCGAAUCAAGUCCCUCCCCACACCUGUGAAAUUGUUCCCAGAAGACGACAUAGUCCUCAGCCCUGGUCUGCCUCCUCCUCCCCUUGACCUGCCUGAACCCAUCCCAGAGGACCAACCCCCAGACGCAGACACCAACGCAUAGACCCCCUCCUCUCCUCACUACAGACCAAAUGAAUGAAGAUGUCACCUCUGUGUAAAAAAAGCAAAGCAACACAUAGGAGUCCUCUGACUCUUCCCACUCCUGCCAUUUGCUUCAGGAAAUACAAAUUUCAAAAUAUCAUAACUACUCUUCCAAGGCAUUGUUCGUUUUUUUUUGUUUUUGGCCAGAAUUGCAAUGUACCUUCACUGUGGUUAUGGGCACACACCACACAUAAGUGCCGAAAGAGAGGUACAAAGAGGUGUUCUUGUUGUUUCAGAAGAGACCGGAAGAGUCUUUUGGGAUGCUAGUGCAUAUGAAAGACGGUAUACCUUGUGGCGUCUGACUGGGAUCAAUAGCAACUCUAAUGGUGUUGCUCCCCCUGGUGACGUCUGUGAUGAACUACAGAGGACAAACAAAAAGGAGGCCAGUGAUGACUGAAUAGCUGGGACUCACAUAGCCAGUCAUGUUUUAAAACAGACAUGCAGAAACAGUUGGUCAGUGAAUGAACUGUUUGUUUUUAUCCUCUGGUAAGUCAGCUUAUCAGGGGAGUUUUUCUUAGUUGCAUUAGUUGAGAAUAAAUCAACUAUUAUAUGACUUAUGCCA